rnacentral:rRNA from 1 species
UACGUAGGGGGCAAGCGUUGUCCGGAAUCAUUGGGCGUAAAGCGCGCGUAGGCGGCCCGGUAAGUCCGCUCUGAAAGUCCAGGGCUCAACCCUGGAAAGCGGGUGGAUACUGCCGGGCUAGAAUCCGGAAGAGGCGAGUGGAAUUCCUGGUGUAGCGGUGGAAUGCGCAAAUAUCAGGAGGAACACCAAUAGCGAAGGCAGCUCGCUGGGACGGUAUUGACGCUAAGGCGCGAAAGCGUGGGGAGCAAACAGGG